ensembl:lncRNA
CACGGCGUAAUGAGGUGAUCACCUCAAGGCUAAUUUGUUGUUUUUAUAGUUUUAGAGCGGCGCUGGUGGCGCGUGCAUUGAGGCCAAUUGGCGCCGGAGAUCGCGUAAAGUGAUCGCAGUAUUUAGCUGGUGGCUGAAUGUGUAUGUAUGUUGAGCCCCGGUACCUGUGAGUAAUCAUACAACUUCGCAUCUGGUGUUUGUUCAAUCUAAUGGAGCCAGUGAGUCUUGGUGGGACAGGGGAGGCUAGCUGCAUUUAUACGGUGGUGUGCUUCACAGCGUGCUCAGUGUGCCAACACAACAACUUCCUUAUGGUGUAGGUAGUAUGUGAUUUUUUGGUGUGAUUUGCAGUGGGUUUGGAUGAUCUCCUGAGUUGUAGCUGGCCUGCCUUGUCCCUGCCAAGCCUGGGCCUGGAGAAGUUCUUAGUUAUUAAAAUACUUGCUGUGCUUCAGGGGAAAGUGAUUUUAUAUUUUCAUGUCAAGUUUUAAAUGAUGCUUAAGUGUCAUAAUAAAAUACAAAUUUUUAUAUUAGUACUCAUGUCUCCCUCAUGUUCCUUGCCCCGAUUGGUGAAACUUCUGUGUGCCUUUUAUUUGGGAGUGUUUCCCUGGUUCUCCCCCAGGGUGGCGCAGUUGGAUUUACUGAAUUUUUGAUGACUGUUUUCCCUUCACAUUGAAAAUGCCACACAACAAUAUAUUGGUUAUGGUAGGUGUGAAUAUGGAAAAGAUGUACUGUAUGGGCAACCCUUUGUUUUGUUUUUCAGUUGUUUUCCAGAAAAUAGAAAAGCAAAUACAUGGUGUGAUCACUUAUUAAUGAUUAGAAGCUUCUCUAUUUUGAGCUCAACCAAAGAGAUCACAGUCCUUUUCUACUGGCUCACAAGUCCAAGGUUCAUGUAUUCACAAAUUAAAAUUCACCUAGAUAAAGCUGAAAUGAAACUAAUAUACCUGCUACUAGGUGCCUGCAAAAUUAAGGUGCCUUAGUAAGGUGUUGUGGACCAUUAGCCACCAGAACUUUCUAAAACUACUGGAGUUGAUAUAACCACAAGCGUAACUUCCUUAGUCUAAGGAGAAAGUUACAUGAUGGCGGCAGCAAUGCAGCUUGUCGUCUUUCUCUUCAUGCUGGCUCCAAUCACAGGUAAACUAAUCUUCUAAAGUCUUUCUAACUGAAGAAGGUAAAGUAUUUGAUACAGUAUACUAUAACCUACACUGAGCUUUACAUAGCAGACUGUGUUAAAAAAAACAAACAAAAAAAAAAAACAAUAAUAUGAUCCAUUAUGUGAUGCACUGUUCAAAGUUAGUGUUUUAAAAUGUUGAAAGUCAUCUGGAUGACUGAGAUUUUGAUUAUAGUCAAUGUCAACUAAUUACUACUUGUUGUUGUUUUUAUGCUGUAAUCCAAUUUUCCACACCAAAUUACACCAUUACCACACAAAGUAAUACCAUUGCACACACCAUACAGGGUAUGAACUUGUUCCUUUCAGACAGAGUGGUAUUGUUAGAAGUGUUGGAAAAGACAGAUCUUUUGAGAUCCCGUUGAGAAUCAAUUGAUGGGUCAUGACAGUCUAUAAAUGAUUUUCAGUGUCUAAAUCUGAUCUGAGAGUCAAUUUUCAUUUCAAGUUAUCAUUAAGGGUUGUAGUGACUUUCUAUUUGAAAGAGGCAUUUAAAGAGGCUAGAUAUAAAUUUAUACAUUCAAGAUUGUGUAAGAUUUUGUAGUAGUGUAAAAUAUGAUUUAAUA